rnacentral:pre_miRNA from 1 species
ACUUGUGAGGAAAUAAAGGAAGUUAGGCUGAGGGGCAGAGAGCGAGACUUUUCUAUUUCCCAAAAGCUCGGUCUGAGGCCCCUCAGUCUUGCUUCCUACCCCGCGCUUG